GCCCCGGUAGCCCAGCGGUAGAGGCAAUGGAUUCAAAACCCAUCAAGCGUCGGUUCGAAUCCGACUCGGGGUA
rnacentral:tRNA from 1 species